rnacentral:rRNA from 1 species
AGUGAACGCUGGCGGUAGGCCUAACACAUGCAAGUCGAACGGCAGCACAGUAAGAGCUUGCUCUUACGGGUGGCGAGUGGCGGACGGGUGAGGAAUACAUCGGAAUCUACUUUUUCGUGGGGGAUAACGUAGGGAAACUUACGCUAAUACCGCAUACGACCUACGGGUGAAAGCAGGGGAUCUUCGGCCCUUGCGCGAUUGAAUGAGCCGAUGUCGGAUUAGCUAGUUGGCGGGGUAAAGGCCAACCAAGGCGACGAUCCGUAGCUGGUCUGAGAGGAUGAUCAGCCACACUGGAACUGAGACACGGUCCAGACUCCUACGGGAGGCAGCAGUGGGGAAUAUUGGACAAUGGGCGCAAGCCUGAUCCAGCCAUACCGCGUGGGUGAAGAAGGCCUUCGGGUUGUAAAGCCCUUUUGUUGGGAAAGAAAAGCAGCAGGUUAAUACCCCGCUGUUCUGACGGUACCCAAAGAAUAAGCACCGGCUAACUUCGUG